AGGUGACUGAAUAAAGUUUGCUCC
rnacentral:siRNA from 1 species